CGGGACUGCAGCUCCCUGGUGAGAGCUGACCGGUUACGUGUGAGCAAUCCGCAGGAUGCCGAAUCCCCCAUCUGGAUUCCGG